GAUAAACGCUGGCGGCGCACCUAAGACAUGCAAGUUGAACGGACUUAAUCGAAAUAUUUAUAUUUUGAAGCGGUUAGUGGCGGACUGGUGAGUAACGCGUAAGGAACCUGCCUAUCAGAGGGGAAUAACAGUGAGAAAUCAUUGCUAAUACCGCAUAUGCCAUAGAUAUCACAUGAUAACAGUGGGAAAGGAGCAAUCCGCUAAUAGAUGGCCUUGCGUCUGAUUAGAUAGUUGGUGGGGUAACGGCCUACCAAGUCGACGAUCAGUAGCCGGACUGAGAGGUUGAACGGCCACAUUGGGACUGAGAUACGGCCCAGACUCCUACGGGAGGCAGCAGUCGGGAAUAUUGCGCAAUGGAGGAAACUCUGACGCAGUGACGCCGCGUAUAGGAAGAAGGUUUUCGGAUUGGAAACUAUUGUCGUUAGGGAAGAGAAAGGACAGUACCUAAGGAGGAAGCUCCGGCUAACUACGUG
rnacentral:rRNA from 1 species